rnacentral:rRNA from 1 species
CCCUUAGAUGUUCUGGGCUGCACGCGCGCUACACUGACGCACGCAACAGGUGCCUGCUCCGAGAGGACUGGGUAAUCAUUUGAGUGUGCGUCGUGAUGGGGAUAGAAUAUUGUAAUUAUUACUCUUCAACGAGGAAUUCCUAGUAAGCGCCAGUCAGCAGCUUGCGCUGAUUACGUCCCUGCCCUUUGUACACACCGCCCGUCGCUCCUACCGAUGGGUGAUCCGGUGAAUGAUUCGGACUUCAGCGGCUCCCCUGGGGUGCGCCGUAGAAAGUUUUGUGAACCUUAUCACUUGGAGGAAGGAGAAGUCGUAACA